AGGUUUGUUCUCAAUAUAUUAUUUAAAGAAAUGAUCAGUGGCAUUGAAAAACACCUCUUCAUGGGUCAGAGAGCAAAGUGUCCACAGUCCUCCAACAGUGACCGUGACAAUGGUCUUUUCAGGACUGCUGGAGAGAUCUUCGCAGUUAGCUCAAGGUGGCCCAGCCCCAUGUUUCAUAAGAGAGUGGUGCUACUAUUAUCUCACCACUGGGGAAGUUGAUGUCCUCAGAAUUUGCAAGGACGAUGUAGAUGAUAUUGAAUACUCCCUGUUGAUCUCAAAGGUUAAAGAGACAGCUGAUCUGACUGAAUUUACAGAUGAAAUUAUCAGCUGUGGAGACACAGGACCACUCAACAUAGAACAAAAAGAUGCCAUA